GGAGGAUCCAAGCGUUAUCCGGAAUCAUUGGGUUUAAAGAGUCCGUAGGCGGUUUGGUAAGUCAGUGGUGAAAGCCCAUCGCUCAACGGUGGAACGGCCAUUGAUACUGCCAUACUUGAAUUAUUAGGAAGUAACUAGAAUAUGUAGUGUAGCGGUGAAAUGCUUAGAGAUUACAUGGAAUACCAAUUGCGAAGGCAGGUUACUACUAAUGGAUUGACGCUGAUGGACGAAAGCGUGGGUAGCGAACAGGAUUAGAUACCCUGGUAGUCCACGCCGUAAACGAUGGAUACUAGCUGUUGGGAGCGAUCUCAGUGGCUAAGCGAAAGUGAUAAGUAUCCCACCUGGGGAGUACGUUCGCAAGAAUG
rnacentral:rRNA from 1 species